rnacentral:rRNA from 1 species
CCUACGGGGGGCAGCAGUGAGGAAUAUUGGUCAAUGGACGAGAGUCUGAACCAGCCAAGUAGCGUGAAGGAUGACUGCCCUAUGGGUUGUAAACUUCUUUUAUAAAGGAAUAAAACGAGGCACGUGUGCCUUUUUGCAUGUACUUUAUGAAUAAGGAUCGGCUAACUCCGUGCCAGCAGCCGCGGUAAUACGGAGGAUCCGAGCGUUAUCCGGAUUUAUUGGGUUUAAAGGGAGCGUAGAUGGGUUGUUAAGUCAGUUGUGAAAGUUUGCGGCUCAACCGUAAAAUUGCAAUUGAUACUGGCAGUCUUGAGUACAGUUGAGGUAGGCGGAAUGCGUGGUGUAGCGGUGAAAUGCAUAGAGAUCACGAAGAACCCCGAUUGCGAAGGCAGCUUACUAAACUGUGACUGACAUUGAUGCUCGAAAGUGUGGGUAGCAAACAGGAUUAGAUACCCCUGUAGUC